GGUCCUACGGGAGGCAGCAGUGAGGAAUAUUGGUCAAUGGGCGGGAGCCUGAACCAGCCAAGCCGCGUGAGGGAAGAAGGUACAGCGUAUCGUAAACCUCUUUUGUCAGGGAACAAAGGCGGGGACUAGUCCCCGGAUGAGGGUACCUGAAGAAAAAGCAUCGGCUAACUCCGUGCCAGCAGCCGCGGUAAUACGUAGGGGGCAAGCGUUAUCCGGAUUUACUGGGUGUAAAGGGAGCGUAGACGGCGAUGCAAGUCUGAAGUGAAAGGCGGGGGCGCAACCCCCGGACUGCGUUGGAA
rnacentral:rRNA from 1 species